rnacentral:rRNA from 1 species
AGCAGCCGCGGUAAUUCCAGCUCCAAUAGCGUAUAUUAAAGUUGUUGCAGUUAAAAAGCUCGUAGUUGAAUUUCGAGAUCAAAUUGUUGGUCGUGCCUCGGUACGUACUGGCAUUAUUGAUUUCUCCCUUCUGAAGAACCACGAUGUCAUUAAUUUGGUGUCGUGGGGAAUCAGGACCGUUACUUUGAAAAAAUUAGAGUGUUUAAAGCAGGCUCACGCUUGAAUACAUUAGCAUGGAAUAAUGAAAUAGGACGUUUGAUUCUAUUUUGUUGGUUUCUAGGAUCGACGUAAUGAUUAAUAGGGAUAGUUGGGGGCAUUAGUAUUCAAUUGUCAGAGGUGAAAUUCUUGGAUUUAUUGAAGACUAACUACUGCGAAAGCAUUUGCCAAGGAUGUUUUCAUUAAUCAAGAACGAAAGUUAGGGGAUCGAAGACGAUCAGAUACCGUCGUAGUCUUAACCAUAAACUAUGCCGACUAGGGAUCGGAUGAUGUU